AGGUCAUGCACUCUUUUGAUGCCCAAGCAGAUGGCGAGCUAAGUCUAGAGGUUGGCGAUUAUGUGGUAGUCCGGCAGGUUGCUCCAAAUGGAUGGUCUGAAGGAGAGUGCAAUGGCAAGUCAGGUUGGUUCCCCUCCGCGUAUGCAGUAAUGUCAGACGAAGUAGCAGCAAGCAAAAUGGUGGAAACGGAUACCACACCAUAAGAUAAAACACCAAUCAGUCAUGCUACCUUCAUAUAAAACUUGUGUUUUUUCUUUGUAAAUUU
rnacentral:misc_RNA from 1 species